CAGCUUUCCAGACUACAUAUCUCCAAGAAAAAUCUUGGAUUACUUUAAACAUAUCAUUUAAGAAUCUGAAAAAUGUUCUUACCUUAAACAAUUUAAACAAAUGCGAUUUUGUGAGUUUUUUGAUUGAUAUCGUCUCAGUGGACUCAAGGACAAUCUCACUUUCUCAUCCAUCUCCUUGUGAUAAAAUGACAGGCAUUUCAAGAGAUAAGAGGCAGGCUGCUGCCCACUCAAAAGUAUCAUUCCACCCAUCAGACAGAGCUCCCAAAUUAAGGAUCGUAGCAAUUACACACAAGCAACAGCAUGGAAAAGAAGCCAGUGCUGCAGAGGUGAUCUGGAUCCAGGAAGAAAGGGAAGAUACCUUCAAUCAAAAAGAGACCACGUCUGCAGAAAACUUUUGGAUGCAACACAGCUGGUUCGCUUCAGGGGACACAUUCUCAGAAAUGGCUGGAUGA
rnacentral:lncRNA from 1 species